UGCGUAGGCGGAUCAAUAAGUCAGUGGUGAAAUCUCUCGGCUCAACCGGGAAACUGCCAUUGAUACUGUUGAUCUUGAGUUCGGUUAAGGUAGGCGGAAUGUGUAAUGUAGCGGUGAAAUGCUUAGAUAUUACACAGAACACCAAUUGCGUAGGCAGCUUACUAGACCGACACUGACGCUGAGGCACGAAAGCGUGGGGAGCGAACAGGAUUAGAUACCCUGGUAGUCC
rnacentral:rRNA from 1 species